rnacentral:lncRNA from 1 species
CGGAGUCGAGCGACGCGCUGCAUCAGAUGUCGUGGUGAGUCAUUCAUUCCCUAAUUCGAUUCGUUUUGUAGAUGAUGCGUGGGUUGCCCUUGGGAAGGUCCCCCGAAAUUCGCCGGUUGCCGAUGUAGGCUCAUGUGCAUCGAUUCUCCAUGGCUCGAAGGUGAGCAAAGCACUCCAAUUUGACCACCCUGACCCCAGCAAAGGCGGUUGGAUGGCCCUGGCCCAUCUGGCACCCAUACAAGGGGCGGCCUCGCUGCAGACAUCGAAGAAGGAUUUUGGAAGACGCAAGCAAACAUCACUGUGCUUCUUCGCAUGUUGUGGGCCAGGGCGUGUGAUAGAAUGAUCCAAUACAAAGGGGGCUGGUUGAAGGUGACCGAGCGAACCCUAGUGAGGGAAGCAUCAGCGGCGGCGACAUAUUGGUCGGUGGUUGGGACGGCGAUUCCACAGCUUACUUUC